rnacentral:rRNA from 1 species
AGUACGGUCGCAAGAUUAAAACUCAAAGGAAUUGACGGGGACCCGCACAAGCGGUGGAUGAUGUGGAUUAAUUCGAUGCAACGCGAAAAACCUUACCUACCCUUGACAUGUCACUAACGAAGUAGAGAUACAUUAGGUGCCCGUAAGGGAAAGUGAACACAGGUGCUGCAUGGCUGUCGUCAGCUCGUGUCGUGAGAUGUUGGGUUAAGUCCCGCAACGAGCGCAACCCUUGUCUUUAGUUGCUACGAAAGAGCACUCUAAAGAGACUGCCGGUGACAAACCGGAGGAAGGUGGGGAUGACGUCAAGUCCUCAUGGCCCUUAUGGGUAGGGCUUCACACGUCAUACAAUGGUGCGUACAGAGGGUUGCCAACCCGCGAGGGGGAGCUAAUCUCUUAAAACGCAUCGUAGUCCGGAUCGUAGUCUGCAACUCGACUACGUGAAGCUGGAAUCGCUAGUAAUCGCGGAUCAGCAUGUCGCGGUGAAUACGUUCCCGGGUCUUGUACACACCGCCCGUCACACCAUGGGAGCGGGUCUCGCCAGAAGUAGUUAGCCUAACCGCAAGGAGGGCGAUUACCACGGCGGGGUUCGUGACUGGGGUG